rnacentral:rRNA from 1 species
UACAGAGGUCCCAAGCGUUGUUCGGAUUCACUGGGCGUAAAGGGUGCGUAGGCGGUCGGGUAAGUCUGAUGUGAAAUCUCCAAGCUUAACUUGGAAAUGGCAUCGGAUACUAUUCGGCUCGAGGAAUGGAGGGGAGACUGGAAUACUUGGUGUAGCAGUGAAAUGCGUAGAUAUCAAGUGGAACACCAGUGGCGAAGGCGAGUCUCUGGACAUUUCCUGACGCUGAGGCACGAAGGCCAGGGGAGCAAACGGG